AGGACGAACGCUGGCGGCGUGCUUAACACAUGCAAGUCGAACGGAAAGGCCCUUUCGGGGGUGCUCGAGUGGCGAACGGGUGAGUAACACGUGGGUGAUCUGCCCUGCACUUUGGGAUAAGCCUGGGAAACUGGGUCUAAUACCGAAUACACCUUGCUGGCUGCAUGGCUGGUGGGGGAAAGCUUUUGCGGUGUGGGAUGGGCCCGCGGCCUAUCAGCUUGUUGGUGGGGUGAUGGCCUACCAAGGCGACGACGGGUAGCCGGCCUGAGAGGGUGUCCGGCCACACUGGGACUGAGAUACGGCCCAGACUCCUACGGGAGGCAGCAGUGGGGAAUAUUGCACAAUGGGCGCAAGCCUGAUGCAGCGACGCCGCGUGAGGGAUGACGGCCUUCGGGUUGUAACCUCUUUCAGUAUCGACGAAGCGCAAGUGACGGUAGGUACAGAAGAAGCACCAGCCAACUACGUGCCAGCAGCCGCGGU
rnacentral:rRNA from 1 species